rnacentral:lncRNA from 1 species
UAAAUAAAUAAAUAAUUAAACCGGGGUGUUACAUGCAAGCUCAGGAAGAUACGAAUUUGGAAACAUGUUUAUUUUGAACAAUGUCUGUAUGAUUUCUCAUUGUAGAAUCUGGUCAAUAAUCCCCACAGGUAGGAUUUAUGGUUUCAAGUUUCUAGAGUCAUGAACCCUUCUUGAAAAUAUUGCUGCCUUGAUGAAUACUCAUCAGAUAUUAAUGCCCUAUGGAUGAUCUUUUCUAGGUGAGAUUUUUGUAUCAACCCAAUGAGGGAUACAUCUCG